CACACUGACACCAUGCUGGGGACCCUCUGCACUCUCAUCACUGCUCUCACAUGUGUGAGUGGUGUGACGGUGGUGACACAGAAGCCUGUUGUAGCCGUGACGACAGGAGAGACAGUCUCCAUAGACUGUAACCUCGGGACUGUUACUGACAGUGCUGCUCGCUGGUAUAAACAGAUUCCAGGAGGAGUUCCUCAGUAUGUGUUACGUUUUUAUCACGGCAACAGCGCUCCAACAUAUGGCACUGGUUUCUCAUCUCCGAAGUUCACAUCCACUCAUCAGUCAACUUCAGAUUAUCGUUUGAUCAUAAAGAACAUUGAGGAGGGAGACUCAGCCGUCUAUUACUGUGAAACAUGGGACGACUCUGUUAAACAGGAGGUAUCACAGUGAUUUACACUGUGACAAAAACCUCUUCACUGAGUACUUCUGCUUUUUGAGACGCUGACACAUUUUGAGUGAAGACAUCAGUCAAAUUCUGUAACUUAUAUUUUUCAUAAUUACAUUUGUUUAUUUAAUUCUGAAAUCUUACUUAGUGGUAGUUAUUAAUAGUUUGCCACAUUUACACUCUAACAAACAGAAGGAGAUGAGCUCACAUGUAAAUGAUAAUGACAUAAAGACAUGUUAUAAUUAAUUGCACCUUGUAUCUUGAAGAA